UACGGAGGGAGCUAGCGUUAUUCGGAAUUACUGGGCGUAAAGCGCACGUAGGCGGCUUUGUAAGUAAGAGGUGAAAGCCCAGAGCUCAACUCUGGAAUUGCCUUUUAGACUGCAUCGCUUGAAUCAUGGAGAGGUCAGUGGAAUUCCGAGUGUAGAGGUGAAUUCGUAGAUAUUCGGAAGAACACCAGUGGCGAAGGCGGCUGACUGGACAUGUAUUGACGCUGAGGUGCGAAGCGUGGAGCAACAGGAUGAGAAC
rnacentral:rRNA from 1 species